CGCACGGGUGCGUAACACGUAGCUAACGUACCCCCUUGCUGGGGAUAACUCCGGGAAACCGGGGCUAAUACCGAAUGAUCUGAUACGGUCUGCGGGCUGUAUCGGUAAAGCCUUAGGGCGCGAGGGGAGCGGGCUGCGGUCCAUUAGCUUGAUGGUGGGGUAAAAGCCUACCAUGGCGACGAUGGAUAGCUGGUCUGAGAGGAUGAUCAGCCACACUGGAACUGAAACACGGUCCAG
rnacentral:rRNA from 1 species